ACGCGCGCUACACUGAUGCAUUCAACGAGUUCCUUGGCCGAGAGGCCUGGGUAAUCUUUUGAACGUGCAUCGUGAUAGGGAUAGAUUAUUGCAAUUAUUAAUCUUGAACGAGGAAUUCCUAGUAAACGCAGAUCAUCAAUCUGCAUUGAUUACGUCCCUGCCCUUUGUACACACCGCAA
rnacentral:rRNA from 1 species